rnacentral:rRNA from 1 species
CAGUCGCCACGGUAAUACGUAGGGUGCAAGCGUUAAUCGGAAUUACUGGGCGUAAAGCGUGCGCAGGCGGUUCGUUAAGACAGAUGUGAAAUCCCCGGGCUUAACCUGGGAACUGCAUUUGUGACUGGCGGGCUAGAGUAUGGCAGAGGGGGGUAGAAUUCCACGUGUAGCAGUGAAAUGCGUAGAGAUGUGGAGGAAUACCGAUGGCGAAGGCAGCCCCCUGGGCCAAUACUGACGCCCAUGCACGAAAGCGUGGGGAGCAAACAGGAUUAGAUACCCCUGUAGUCCCUGUCUCUUAUAC